ACUCAAAGGAAUUGACGGGGGCCCGCACAAGCGGUGGAACAUGUGGUUUAAUUCGACGCAACGCGAAGAACCUUACCUGGGCUUGAACUACUCGUGGUAGCUCGCUGGAAACAGUGGGCGACCCGCAAGGGAGCGAGCAGAGGUGCUGCAUGGUUGUCGUCAGCUCGUGUCGUGAGAUGUUGGGUUAAGUCCCGCAACGAGCGCAACCCCUACUCGAUGUUGCUAAUCCCGCAAGGGAUGCACUCUUCGAGAACUGCCUUCGAUAAGAAGGAGGAAGGUGGGGACGACGUCAAAUCCUCAUGGCCCUUAUGUCCAGGGCAACACACGUGUUACAAUGGCCGGUACAAUGGGAAGCAAUACCGUAAGGUGGAGCCAAACCCACAAAGCCGGCCCCAGUUCAGAUUGUGGGCUGCAACUCGCCCACAUGAAGGCGGAAUCGCUAGUAAUCGCUGAUCAGCAGGCAGCGGUGAAUACGUUCCCGGGCCUUGUACACACCGCCCGU
rnacentral:rRNA from 1 species